rnacentral:rRNA from 1 species
GACGAACGCUGGCGGCGUGCUUAACACAUGCAAGUCGAACGGACAGGCCCUGCUUUUGUGGGGUGCUCGAGUGGCGAACGGGUGAGUAACACGUGAGUAACCUGCCCUUGACUUUGGGAUAACUUCAGGAAACUGGGGCUAAUACCGGAUAGGAGCUCCUGCUGCAUGGGGGGGGUUGGAAAGUUUCGGCGGUUGGGGAUGGACUCGCGGCUUAUCAGCUUGUUGGUGGGGUAGGGGCUUACCAAGGCUUUGACGGGUAGCCGGCCUGAGAGGGUGACCGGCCACAUUGGGACUGAGAGACGGAGCAGACUCCUACGGGAGGCAGCAGUGGGGAAUAUUGCACAAUGGGCGGAAGCCUGAUGCAGCAACGCCGCGUGCGGGAUGACGGCCUUCGGGUUGUAAACCGCUUUCGCCUGUGACGAAGCGUGAGUGACGGUAAUGGGUAAAGAAGCACCGGCUAACUACGUG